rnacentral:sRNA from 1 species
GACUCUGUCCUCUACCGCCCGUACACCCCAAUCUCCAAUCCGGACCCCCAAAAAAUUGAUUUUAUGAUAAAAAUCUACUCGAACGGAAUAUGUACUCCAUCACUGGAAAAUCUGAAAAUCGGCGGCGAAUUGGAGAUCAGUGACCCAAUUGGUGAACGAAAUUUCGCUGAAUGGACGGAAAAUGCUCAGGAAUUGAUACUUUUGGCUGCGGGAAGUGGAAUUACACCGAUGAUUGAUAUUAUGGAGAAAAGAAUCCAAAAAACUGAAAAUUCUAAUUCAAAAGUGUACUUUUUGAUGUUUAAUAAGACUGAAAAUGAUCUACAAACUGGAAAACCCGAAGAGAAUCCGAAAUCCACGUGGAAAAUGGCCGAUUUCUAUUCAAAAUACCGCGGAGACGAGCGGAUUGUG